AGUGUAGGGAGGCCUGGCAGCGAAGGAGGGAGGAGAGGUGAUGGGAGUAUGCCAGUGCCAGAGAUCCACUGUUCCUCACUGUAUCAGGAAUCAAGCAAGACCUGCUGCAGCUGCUCCUGGGAUGGAGGUGACCUGAGCCUCCUGAGCUUCAAGACCUUGAGAAUUCAACUCACUUUUUGGCUUGCUCUUCUGAUAUCCCCAUUUCUAUGUUGAGUCAUGGAAUCACAGUGUCAUUAAGGUAUUGGGAAAUCUGCGUUCAUUGUCCCUGGCUUUUUUCCAGUUUCAGCUCAGGACUGAAUGCAUAAGCACUGACAUCUGAGCGGUGCCGUGUUGCUAUAACUCUACAGAAUGCAACUCGUAUAGUAGAGAUUCAUCCACGCAUAACUCGAAGCCUAAAAUCUUCCCUCUUGCCAAUCAAUAGAAGAUUCAUAUGGUGGAGUUCCAAGACUAUUUAAGUGUUUUUAUCUGACUGACAUGAACAGACAAUGCUCGCUUGAUUUAUCUGUAAAAAAGCAACAGGGUAGCACAAUCUUUAUCAAACCAAUUACUUGCCUUCUGAGCUAUUGAAAACAUUAUACCAAGCUGAUGAUUUUCAGUCCUCCAAAUGAUCCUAGCACAAUAGAACCAACUAAUUCACUGGGCAUACUCCAUGUAGCCCUUCUUAUUUAAUCUUUGUGACAGAUAUCUAAAUAUUAAGAGAAACUCUCUAAAUUAUGCUAAGGCAAUACUGGAAGAUCCUCUCCGCUCUGUUGCCUUGCCGAGGAGUACAAUUACAUCUUGCAUUUCUCUAUUCCACCUCU
rnacentral:lncRNA from 7 species